UACAGAGACUGCAAGCGUUAUUCGGAUUCACUGGGCGUAAAGGGUGCGCAGGUGGCCAAGUGUGUUAGGCGUGAAAGCCCGGGGCUUAACCCCGGAAUUGCACCUAAAACUACUUGGCUAGAGCAUUGGAGAGGGGAGCAGAAUUCAUGGUGUAGCAGUGAAAUGCGUAGAUAUCAUGAGGAAUACCAGAGGCGAAAGGCGGCUCCCUGGACAAUUGCUGACACUCAGGCACGAAAGCGUGGGGAGCAAAAGGG
rnacentral:rRNA from 1 species